GUGGGGCACAGAAAAAAUAGAUAGGGGCAGCUCUAAAGACCAGCUGUUAAGACAGACAACUGCAAACUCAUUUAAGCAAGAGAAAAACAGCUCUAAUUCGAGAUUGUGAAGCAACACUUCUAAAUUCAAAGACAUAGAGUUGUCAAAUCAGGAUUUUUUUUUUUUUAAAUGAUAUCCUUUCGAAUGUAACUGAUUUUGGGAAAAUCACAUGUUCAGAAUUGAGGCUAAAUGGUUUGAUCAGGUUUUCUCUUUGAAGAGACCACAGCCUUAGGAAAUGGUUCUUGAUCUAUACAAUUCCACCUUGGACACUGGGUUAAUUCUGUUUGCCCCUGGAACACAAUCACUGCCUGGCUCAAAAGCUACUGCAAGCUCGUUACUGCUCAUCCUCCAGAGGCCCACAUCAAGUCAGCCACGACUCAAGGAGACUCCAAAGAUAAAAGCUGAAGCCAAAAUAUAUGAUUCUAAACACCCUCCUCGGCUACUGCAAAGCACUGUGAGCACUUUCUCAGGACGAGAGCCAAGAAGCCCAGCACCUAUGGGUCACCACAGUUUCCGAGGUCCCAGAUGAAAAAGAUGCGCUCGCUACCACCGUGCGGCGGUCCUUUCUCUCGCAAUAGUCUCAAUGCUCCCGGGCCCUGCCUCCGGACGCCAGGACAGAGGCCGCCGACUCGAAGCGUGAGCAGUUCCGGAGGUACUUGGAGAAGUCGGGGGUGCUGGACACGCUGACCAAGGUGUUGGUAGCCUUAUAUGAAGAACCAGAGAAACCUAACAGUGCUUUGGAUUUUUUAAAGCAUCACUUAGGAGCUGCUACUCCAGAAAAUCCAGAA
rnacentral:lncRNA from 10 species